rnacentral:rRNA from 1 species
UACCAGCACCCCGAGUGGUCGGGACGUUUAUUGGGCCUAAAGCAUCCGUAGCCGGUUCUACAAGUCUUCCGUUAAAUCCACCUGCUUAACAGCUGGGCUGCGGAAGAUACUAUGGAGCUAGGAGGCGGGAGAGGCAAGCGGUACUCGAUGGGUAGGGGUAAAAUCCGUUGAUCCAUUGAAGACCACCAGUGGCGAAGGCGGCUUGCCAGAACGCGCUCGACGGUGAGGGAUGAAAGCUGGGGGAGCAAACCGG